rnacentral:rRNA from 1 species
GACGUAGGGUGCGAGCGUUGUCCGGAAUUAUUGGGCGUAAAGAGCUCGUAGGCGGUCUGUCGCGUCGAUCGUGAAAACUUGGGGCUUAACCCUGAGCUUGCGGUCGAUACGGGCAUGACUGGAGUUCGGCAGGGGAGACUGGAAUUCCUGGUGUAGCGGUGAAAUGCGCAGAUAUCAGGAGGAACACCGGUGGCGAAGGCGGGUCUCUGGGCCGAUACUGACGCUGAGGAGCGAAAGCCAGGGGAGCGAACGGG